rnacentral:rRNA from 1 species
UCGGCGUAAAGGGUGGUUAAGAAUAAGAUUAAAAUUAAAGCCGAACAUCUUUAGUAGCUGUUAUACGCUUUCAAAGACAAGAAGCCCAACUGCGAAAGUAGCUUUAUAUUUUCUGAACCCACGAAAGCUAAGGUACAAACUGGGAUUAGAUACCCCACUAUGCUUAGCCGUAAACAUCGACAGUUUAUUACAUUUUCUGUCCGCCUGGGUACUACAAGCAUUAGCUCAAAACCCAAAGGACUUGGCGGUGCUUUAGACCCACCUAGAGGAGCCUGUUCUAGAACCGAUAUUCCCCGUUCAACCUCACCUCUCCUUGCCUCUCAGCCUAUAUACCGCCGUCGUUCAGCUUACCCUGUGAAGGGCAAAAAGUAAGCAAAAUUGGCACUGCCCAGUACGUCAGGUCGAGGUGUAGUCAAUGGAGUGGGAAGAAAUGGGCUACAUUCCCUUGUCUUCAGGGAACUACGAAUGGUGCACUGAAAAUGUGUGCCUGAAGGAGGAUUUAGCAGUAAGUAGUAAUUUAGAAUAUUCUACUGAAGCCGGCUCUUAAGCGCGCACACACCGCCCGUCACUCUCCCCGAGACUUUAAAUUCACAUUAACUAAAAUAUUAAAUAUCAUAGAGGGGAGGCAAGUCGUAA